AUAAAACCGAUGAGGAAGAGAAGUAAACAUUUAUGCAUCAUUCCAGAGAGCAGACGUUGGUGGAAGUCUGUAUGAGGCUGAUUGUUGAAUGGCCUUCCGAGGGCAGUCCGAAAUCUCUGUGCAGAGAGUAGGCACUGACGGGAACCGAACCCGUUACCAAUCAGGAGUGUAUGUUUGUACAUGAGAAAGUGGACAUUUUGUCAAUUUGAGUGGUACCGCGAUAAUAAGAAAUUAUUACCGUCUCAAGC
rnacentral:ncRNA from 1 species